rnacentral:rRNA from 1 species
CCUACGGGUGGCAGCAGUAGGGAAUCUUCCACAAUGGGCGAAAGCCUGAUGGAGCAACGCCGCGUGGGUGAAGAAGGUCUUCGGAUCGUAACACCCUGUUGUUAGAGAAGAAAGCGCGUGAGAGUAACUGUUCACGUUUCGACGGUAUCUAACCAGAAAGCCACGGCUAACUACGUGCCAGCAGCCGCGGUAAUACGUAGGUGGCAAGCGUUAUCCGGAUUUAUUGGGCGUAAAGGGAACGCAGGCGGUCUUUUAAGUCUGAUGUGAAAGCCUUCGGCUUAACCGGAGUAGUGCAUUGGAAACUGGUAGACUAGAGUGUAGAAGAGGAGAGUGGAAUGCAAGGUGUAGCGGUGAAAUGCGUAGAUAU